rnacentral:tRNA from 1 species
GCUGGUUUGGCUCAGUGGAUAGAGCGACGGCCUGCAGGCCGAAGGGUCCUGGUUCAAUUCCAGUCAAGGGCA